UACCCCACUAUGCCUAGCCCUAAACAUCGAUGCUAACCUACUUAUUCUAUCCGCCAGGGUACUACGAGCAUUAGCUUAAAACCCAAAGGACUUGGCGGUGCUUUAGAUCCACCUAGAGGAGCCUGUUCUAGAACCGAUAAUCCCCGUUAAACCUCACCUUUUCUUGCCAUAUCCGCCUAUAUACCGCCGUCGUCAGCUUACUCUGUGAGGAGCUUGAAGUAAGCACAACCGGCACAGCCCAAAACGUCAGGUCGAGGUGUAGCGAAUGAAAAGGGAAGAAAUGGGCUACAUUCAAUAUUUAUAAUGAAUACGAAUGAUGCCUUGAAAGAGACAUCUGAAGGAGGAUUUAGCAGUAAGCAGGGAAUAGAGAGCCCUGCUGAAAUUGGCCCUGAAGCGCGUACACACCGCCCGUCACUCUCCCCGAGCUAAUAUGAAUUAAUUUCUAAUAAGCAAAACCUGCAAAGGGGAGGCAAGUCGUAACAUGGUAAGCGUACCGGAAGGUGCGCUUGG
rnacentral:rRNA from 1 species